rnacentral:sRNA from 1 species
CCCAUUUCGCCAAUCUCAAAUGUUGUUGUUGUUUUGAUGAUUACAUCGAACCUUGAUGGCAAUUAUUUUUUCGUUACUGAAACCCCCCUAGCCACCUUGCUGCCAUCCUCAAGCCCCAUUUGAUCCGCAUAAAGCGUCAAGCAUAAACUACAUCUUUUCCUCUCUGACAGGGAACAUCUCCAUUGUUCCACCGUGAUGAGAAGGGCCCCUGGCCAAGGGCUCCUCACCCCACCAACUGUCUAACCAUUUUAGCUUGCACAGCCUCUUGUCUUGCAAAUUCUCCCCUUCUUCUUCGGCUUUGCACUUUUGCCCCUAUUUCUCGGGAAUUUCUCAUCACAAGUGGUUAGCAGAUAGAAAUGCAGAAGAGCGCCCUUUUUUUUUUUUUUCGCAUCCUGUGUGAACUUGUCUUCACCAACUCGAUGGUAGAUUUACCCAUGACUGGCUAGGCGGGUCCUUCUCAAAGAAGACGGCGUUUUAUGUGUGUGCCAGAUCUUGCAUGUUAAGAAUAAGGAUUGGCUGCAGGAACAGGAGGCAGAGCAAAUAAUAACUACGCGGGUAAGAGUGGUCAGGCCCAGCCAGACCUGGCUUUCUGAGUGCAGAGGAGAGCGGGUGGGAUGAGAGAGAACCUCCCAUUGAAUCAGAGGGUGUUAAUAAGUAAUUAACCCCCUGGCCUUACCACUGCGCGGUGUAUUGAUGUUUAUAUAUGCUACGUUCAAGUGUGUGCACCGUGCGAUAGAUAUACAUAGGUUGAUUUACGUAGGCUGGAGUUUUGAUUCUCUUUGGCUGGCUGGCUGCUUGUUUAUGGCCAGCUCCGGGGGGUAACUUUGUGAGUGGAGGAAAUACUGCAAAUGAUCAUUUCCUCCUACCCAUGACAGGUAGUAUCUCAGUCGAAAUUAAUAAAGGGGCUUUGUCUCUUGUGUUGAAUCCCCCACACACGUCAUGUUUUUGUCUCACUCAUUACUGUUCUACAAUAGAACUGGUGAGAGAUGAGAGAAGGUACUAAUUAGUAUUUAUCUAAAAUCAGUUUAUCCAGGAU